UGGGGGGGGGGGCAGAGAGAGAGGGAGGAGGAUCAGAAGCACGCUUCAUGUUGACAGCAGAGAGCCUAGUGUGAGGGUCAAACUCCCGAACUGUGAGAUCAUGAGCUGAGCUGAAGCCAGACGCUCAAGCAAAUGAGCCACCAAGGCACCCCCCUCCCGCCCCCCAGUCCUAGUAUUUUUGAAUCCUUAUCCAGUUCAUGGUAACUUUUAACCUACCUGUGUUAUUAAGAGGCUGCUGUCAAAUGUAGGCUUUUUCUUUCAGGGUCUUUGGGAUAAUAGUGAAAGGUUGGCAUUAAUUUAAACUUUGGCUAAAACAGAAUUUGUUUAGUUAAAAAUUACCAUGAUUGAGGGGUGCCUGGGUGGCUCAUUUAGUUAAGUGUCUGACUUCGGCUCAGGUCAUGAUCUCCCAGUUCAUGAGUUCGAGCCCCACGUUGGGCUCUGUGCUGACAGCUCGGAGCCUAGAGCCUGGACCCUACUUUGGAUUCUGUGUCUCCCUCUCUCUCUCUGCCCCUCCUCCGCUCAUGCUCUGUGUGUCUCUCAAAAAUAAAUAUUAAAAAAAUAAUUACCAUGAUUGAGAUUAUAAUUCUUUUCUAAAAUAUUUGAAAUAUAACUAUGUUAUCUUUAUGUUUACUAAAACAUAUUAAAAUGCUGUUGUCUUUUUCAGUUUGAGUCUGAAUUUCUUCUAUCAUAGAACCUGUGGAUUUCUAAUCCUAGAAAUCUGUUAUUUCAGGACUCGUAAACACUUGGCCGGCUUCAUAGAGGAUUCGAAAGUUUGAGAAGGAAAAGUGGAAUCGUUUGUUUAUCAAGCAGGAGGGUAAUUGUCCGUAAUUACAGAUGCUUGUUUUGAGGUUUGGAAAGGGUGGUUUAAAAAAAAAAAAAAAGCCACACAUAUAUUUAAAAAAAAAAGAUAAACAUCUAUAAAUAAAAAGAGGAAAAAAUUUGGCAAAAAUGGUUGCACCGUCUUAAGUAGAAUUGUCUUAGCAAAAAUUCCUUUGUUAAAUGGGGAAAAAAAGGCUGUGAGUUGAGAGUGAGACCUGGGUGGGAAAUUUUUGGUAGACACUGAAGACCAUUUUAGGUGGUUAAUAUUUCCGUUUUGACCUCAUUCUAGAGAUGCUAGAGGAGAAAGGAUUUGGAGACUUACCGAUAGGGUUAAUGUAAGGUCUUAACCGUUUUGACGCAAGAUGACACAAGACGAGUUUGUUUCCCUUUGUUUUAUAUUCUUCCUCCCCACAAAAUUCAUUAAAUAAUGCAAAGUAAUAAAAUGGACUCGGUUUGCUUGAAAUCAAGCGGCCCAGGGGAGAGUUCCUGUAAACGGCGAGCAGAGAGUUAACUUGGAGGGCUUUCUGUUGGGCGUCUGUAGCCAGGUUCCCGAUCUGGGCCUUGGAGAAAUCCAUCCCACCUUUUUGCGGCGCCUGCUACGCACGGAUCUACUUUCUCCGCUCGCGCUGUUUCCUCCACCUCCUUCCCCUCCUCUCUCCCGUAGGCUCGGCUCGGCUGGGCUCGGCUCGGAGCGUGGGUCUGUGCCCGCGUGUGGUGGUGGGUGUGUGUGGCCGCAGGUCUCAGAGCCGCAGGACAAGUUGCAGGAGAGAGUGUGACGCUCGACUGUUGCGUCCUGAACGCGCUGUGGCGGGGUCGGUCGGCGCGGCCCCGAUGGGGGCCGCGGGGCCUGCCUGCUGGGUCGAGCUGUCGGAGGGGGAUGGGGCCGCUCCUAGGGUUCCUAUCGAGUGGCAUUGGACCUGGCAGGGUAAUAUGGCUGGCUGAUCGGUGAUCGGGGCCUGGCAGCAGCUUUCGGAAGACGGUGGAGGGACAGAAAUGUAAAAUGACAGCAAAAAGGGCCAGAACCCCCAAUGCCCUAAGGGUGGAAACUUUUCGUUUCUUUUCGGAGAGGAUCGUAGUUUUGCCUCUGAUUCCGGAGGAGGGCUUGGCUUGGCUUCUUACGCGUGAAAAUAAACAAAGACAAAAGCUAAAAGAAGUGUUGUAAUUCUGUUUUGUGUUUAACUGUAUCAAAGCAUUAAAUGUGAUGGCACUGGACAUUGAGAUGAAUAUUUUCAUCGCGGAAUCCAGUUUAGGUUUGUAAAUCAGGACAGAACACACAAGACAUAAAA